AUUGAACACUGGCGGAAGGCUUACCACAUGCAAGUCGAGCGAGCGGCGGACGGGUGAGUAAUGUCUGGGAAACUGCCUGAUGGAGGGGGAUAACUACUGAAAACGGUAGCUAAUACCGCAUACCAUCAGAUGUGCCCAGAUGGGAUUAGCUAGUAGGUGGGGUAAUGGCACACCUAGGCGACGAUCCCUAGCUGGGCUGAGAGGAUGACCAGCCACACUGGAACUGAGACACGGUCCAGACUCCUUCGGGAGGCAGCAGUGGGGAAUAUUGCACAAUUGGCGCAAGCCUGAUGCAGCCAUGCCGCGUGUGUGAAGAAGGCCUUCGGGUUGUAAAGCACUUUCAGCGAGGAGGCGUUACUCGCAGAAGAAGCACCGGCUAACUCCGUGCCAGCAGCCGCGGUAAUUC
rnacentral:rRNA from 1 species